GCGCCAGUAGCUCAGUUGGAUAGAGCAUCGGCCUUCUAAGCCGACGGCCGGGGGUUCGAAUCCUCCCUGGCGCGCCA
rnacentral:tRNA from 5 species